GACGAACGCUGGCGGCGUGCUUAACACAUGCAAGUCGAACGGAAAGGCCCUGCUUUUGUGGGGUGCUCGAGUGGCGAACGGGUGAGUAACACGUGAGUAACCUGCCCUUGACUUUGGGAUAACUUCAGGAAACUGGGGCUAAUACCGGAUAGGAGCUCCUGCUGCAUGGUGGGGGUUGGAAAGUUUCGGCGGUUGGGGAUGGACUCGCGGCUUAUCAGCUUGUUGGUGGGGUAGUGGCUUACCAAGGCUUUGACGGGUAGCCGGCCUGAGAGGGUGACCGGCCACAUUGGGACUGAGAUACGGCCCAGACUCCUACGGGAGGAAGCAGUGGGGAAUAUUGCACAAUGGGCGGAAGCCUGAUGCAGCAACGCCGCGUGCGGGAUGACGGCCUUCGGGUUGUAAACCGCUUUCGCCUGUGACGAAGCGUGAGUGACGGUAAUGGGUAAAGAAGCACCGGCUAACUACGG
rnacentral:rRNA from 1 species